rnacentral:snRNA from 1 species
AUCUGGCUGCAACAUCUGUUACCCCAUUGAUCGCCAUGGUUGAUUCUGCUGAUCUGGCUGGUUAAGCAGGUGUUCCCUUCUUCUCUCACCUCUCCAUGCACGUCCCUCCCAAAGCUGCAAGCUUGGUCGAAGAGGAGGACCUUUUGUGAAUAGAGGAGGACCAGUCUUCCAUCAAGGGUAUACAAGUAGCUGUGCUCCCCUGUUAGAACCUCCAAACAAGUUCUUUACUUAUUUUUAAUUAAUUUGUGUCACUUUCAUCACUUUCCUCCAAUGCAAGAAUAGAGCCAGGAAUAAUUUUAUAUCUU